rnacentral:rRNA from 1 species
CUUAGGGUGGAUUAGUGGCGAACGGGUGAGUAACACGUGGGCAAUCUGCCCUUCACUCUGGGACAAGCCCUGGAAACGGGGUCUAAUACCGGAUAACACUCUGUCCCGCAUGGGACGGGGUUAAAAGCUCCGGCGGUGAAGGAUGAGCCCGCGGCCUAUCAGCUUGUUGGUGGGGUAAUGGCCUACCAAGGCGACGACGGGUAGCCGGCCUGAGAGGGCGACCGGCCACACUGGGACUGAGACACGGCCCAGACUCCUACGGGAGGCAGCAGUGGGGAAUAUUGCACAAUGGGCGAAAGCCUGAUGCAGCGACGCCGCGUGAGGGAUGACGGCCUUCGGGUUGUAAACCUCUUUCAGCAGGGAAGAAGCGAAAGUGACGGUACCUGCAGAAGAAGCGCCGGCUAACUACGUGCCAGCAGCCGCGGUAAUACGUAGGGCGCAAGCGUUGUCCGGAAUUAUUGGGCGUAAAGAGCUCGUAGGCGGCUUGUCACGUCGGAUGUGAAAGCCCGGGGCUUAACCCCGGGUCUGCAUUCGAUACGGGCUAGCUAGAGUGUGGUAGGGGAGAUCGGAAUUCCUGGUGUAGCGGUGAAAUGCGCAGAUAUCAGGAGGAACACCGGUGGCGAAGGCGGAUCUCUGGGCCAUUACUGACGCUGAGGAGCGAAAGCGUGGGGAGCGAACAGGAUUAGAUACCCUGGUAGUCCACGCCGUAAACGUUGGGAACUAGGUGUUGGCGACAUUCCACGUCGUCGUGCCGCAGCUAACGCAUUAAGUUCCCCGCCUGGGGGAGUACGGCCGCAAGGCUAAAACUCAAAGGAAAUUGACGGGGGCCCCGCCACAG